GGCGCGAGCCUGAACCAGCCAAGUCGCGUGAGGGAAGACGGUCCUAUGGAUUGUAAACCUCUUUUGUCGGGGAGCAAAAGACGCCACGUGUGGCGUUCCGAGAGUACCCGAAGAAAAAGCAUCGGCUAACUCCGUGCCAGCAGCCGCGGUAAUACGGAGGAUGCGAGCGUUAUCCGGAUUUAUUGGGUUUAAAGGGUGCGCAGGCGGAAGAUCAAGUCAGCGGUAAAAUUGAGAGGCUCAACCUCUUCGAGCCGUUGAAACUGGUUUUCUUGAGUGAGCGAGAAGUAUGCGGAAUGCGUGGUGUAGCGGUGAAAUGCAUAGAUAUCACGCAGAACUCCGAUUGCGAAGGCAGCAUACCGGCGCUCAACUGACGCUCAUGCACGAAAGUGUGGGUAUCGAACAGGAUUAGAUACCCUGGUAGUCCACACAGUAAACGAUGAAUACUAAUUGUUCGGGGAGAAUGAUC
rnacentral:rRNA from 1 species